AAUUGAAGGUGGCCGACUUCCUGUUGGGUUUAGGGCGUGGCUGUAAUUGACUUUUUGGUGUGUCCAGAUGUUCUGCAUAUGCCCACCAAAUAUUGUAGCUGUACAUGAAACAUUGUGGCAGUUGGCCUAAUGACUACUUUUUCAAGUUUGCAGGUGGCGCUAUAGAGCCAUUUUGCCAUGCACAUGCGCAACUCCCAUAAAAUAUCAAAUUUUUCGCCAGUCCUGAUGUGCAUGCCAAAUUUCACGCGUUUUGGAGUAUGAUAAGGCCGCCAAAAAGCCAAUUUACUUUACGGGAGAAAAAAAAAAAAAAAAAAAAAUAAUAAUAAUAAUAAACCCUAGGGUUUCAAUAGGGUCCUUGGCACCGCUGGUGCCUUGGACAGUCGGUGCCCUGGCACCGCCUGUCCUUCGCACCCUCGGUGCUCGGACCCUAAUAAUAAACCCUAGGGUUUCAAUAGGGUCCUUGGCACCGCUGGUGCCUUGGACAGUCGGUGCCCUGGCACCGCCUGUCCUUCGCACCCUCGGUGCUCGGACCCUAAUAAUAAUAAUAAUAAUAAUAAUAAUAAACCCUAGGGUUUCAAUAGGGUCCUUGGCACCGCUGGUGCCUUGGACAGUCGGUGCCCUGGCACCGCCUGUCCUUCGCACCCUCGGUGCUCGGACCCUAAUAAUAAUUACGAUAAAAAUAAUAGUAAUAAUAGUAAUGAUAAUAAUAAUUGAUAUAGUGAUAAUAAUAAUAAUGAUAAUUAUUCACAGCUGAAAUAAUAGCAGUAUCUAUCUAUCUAUCUAUCUAUCUAUCUAUCUAUCUAUCUAUCUAUCUAUCUAUCUAUCUAUCUAUCUAUCUAUCUAUCUAUCUAUCACUCAGUCACCGAGAGGAUGGCUGACAAGUGGAGCUUUCUGAAACAGGCCCCUGGUAAAAAGCCUGCCCAAUCUGCAAAGUAUGAAGCUUAUGGAGGACGGAGCACCAAGCACUGCAAUACUACCACUCAUCAUGCAGCUAUGUUAAGUUCCAACAGGCAUGCUACAGAGGAUGACAGAGGCCCAAGGGCACAUAAAAUGCACUAAACAUCUCCAUGUGACGCACAGACAAAUUAUUACGCUCAAAGGAUGCAAAAAGUAGGAUUAAAUUUUUUUGGCCACUAAAAGUUGAUUUUGGCUCCUAAAAAUGUCUAAAUUAACGUAUGUUGGUGGCCAAAAAAUGUCAUUUUGGCCACCGGACCUCUCGGCCUUAAAUCAAGCGCUGGGGCACACGGAUUGGGUAAUAUACCUUGGUCGCCUUUUUUAAAGGAGGGCGACUAGACCUUAGGGGACAGCCUGUGAAUCCUUCCACCUUAGAGAAUGACGUUCUGGGCAAAUUCAAGUGUUUGUCUGUGGAAUGCGAGACGAGCGUCCAGCCUUUGGUUCGGCGGGGUUUAAGCCUCUGGGGAAUUUUGUCCCUGAGCUAGGUUGUGCACAAACCUAUCAAGCCAAUACAUUGAAUUAGGUACCCAGAUCCACCAAACUGGAAUUCCACGUUAAAUUUGAGGAAACUCCUAUUGAAUUCUGACACAAAAAUAACUAUAAAUUGUUUAAAAACUAUUUUAUAAUUCAUCUAACAGAUCAGAUUGAAAUUUACCUUGAUCAUAAUUGAAAAUUGACACAUAAGAGUUCAGAUGCAGUUGAGAGUUCUGGCUAUGCGCCUGCUGUUUGUGUUCAUUGCGACUGUGUUUUAUUUCUGUGUGUGCAUGAAUGCCUGUUGUUGAGUGAAAGAAAUUAACCAUGGAUUGUCAUCUGUCCAAAUCAGGCGAGACUCAUUGUUCAAAUGUAAAAUCAAUUAAUAACUCUAAAAAAAACACAAUCUGAAUCUAAUUCUGAUGCAUCUACACUGGUCAGUGUAGCAGGAAUUCAGUCAUUAGCCAGAGCUAAGAACACAGAGGAGAAACUUGAGAUCAUUGCUCUUCUUCAGGAAGAAUUGACUAAGAUAAAGAAUGAAGAAGUUGAAUCUGGACUUAACACAGAACCCGACUCAGUAUCACUCAGUUUUAGGAAGUGGUGAUGUAGGAAUAGGACAGAGUAAUGAUGAGUUGACAAAAAAGGAUGAACAGUCUGGGUGUUCUUCACCUGUUUUUCUUUAAAGUGAUGAGACAGAGGAGUCAGAGCCUUCUGAAACUAAUCCAUCAGCCGUGGAGCCCAGCGGAAGCCAGAGAUAUAGUGUUUAGGGCACCAGAUCCUUUCACUAGCCCCAUGAAAUAUCUUGAUUGGUUGUGGGUUACAGCCACAUUGUAUAAUGUUCUGGUUCCAGACAUGCAGGUACUGACCACUCUAUGGCAUAGAGUGGUCCACGGUCGAGGAAUCUUUUGAUUUAUCUCCUACUGAGAAUGUCCAGUGGACUGACAACCUGGACAUGUAGACAUGGCUAACGGAGAAAGCUAAAAAGGCAGUAUUUUACGGUGUCAUAAUUGGGUCAAAAGUCACGUGCGCGUAACACCCUCUCGCGUGCGCGAAACACGUACCCCGCGCGAGCAGAAAAAAGUCUUCACGGACGCACAAAACACUCUGCACGCGUGUGGCAAUGUCUCCGCGCACGAGGAGCCUCCUACGCGCGUGGAGGCAUUGCUAUGCGUCCGUGUAUGGUGCCAUAAUUAUCCGUGGAGUUCUGAUCUACGCGCAGGGGGAAGACUUUUGACCCAUUGUGGGCGGAUACCAGUGCUCGCCAUAACCUCCCUAUGAUUGGCUGUCUGCAACAGCAAGAACUCAUCCCCCACAUGGGAUGCCACUGUAUACAAGAGAGGAAAUGACAAGGUCCACUGGAGCCCCUUUGAUGCUGCUGCUGCUGUUCUGCUGUGCCCAUGGACUGCAGCUCUGCCGAACACACACAGAACCGAGCCCGGAUCUCCAACUGCCGGUGGGUGAGUGUCUCCACGUAUUUCUGGCUCCAAACAGGAGGUCUCAGUGCUCCAUUGCGGGGCUGUCAGCCUUUAGUACAGCGAUUAGACGUUAGUUAGCUCCAUUGCUAACGGCAGUUACCCAGGUGGACUGACCGGAAUUGGCCCAGAAGCCCAGCGUGUCUACUCCAGUGAUUCUGACAGGGAGUUUAAGAGUCACAAGUUUCUUGCCGAAUCUGCGUAUCAUCCACACGAAGACGGCGUUUUGGGGGUCUGUAAACGAUCAUUUUUGAAACCAGGUUCCAGAGUGGAAAGAUUUUGAAAUGCCGUAUACGCAGCUCCGUGUUUACUGGCUCUCCGCUACUUUUCAGAUACGCUUGCGUCAUAGUUUCAUAUCUUCAUUGACAGGCAUGCGCAGUUUCAUAACUUCACUGACACGCAUGCACCACACGCGGCAACGGCAACAACAAUGGCGGCGUACAGUGUAGCAAAUGUGCUGAUGAAGCUAGUGACCCGUAUUCUGACAUGUCUCCCAAUCGAUGCUUUCUUGCAGCUUUUUGGCUUUAUAAUCCAGUGACACCCGAAGCAAGAGUUCAACCUCAUCAUCUGUCCAGACUAACGUAGUAGCUUGCCCACGUUGCCCACUCAUGCUUCCCGGCUUGGUCUCUGUUUACAACUUUUGCCGGAAGUGCACAUGCCCACUGUUUUUUCUUCUGUUUGCGCGUGUUUCCGUCAUAUCGUUACAGCGCCCCAAGAGGUCUGGCAUGUGUUUUACAGCGUUUCCAUGCGUAUCGAGUGCAUUCAUGUAGACGCACACAUUUUAUGAGACGCCUUCGUCUUUAUGGUGAUCGUUUUUUAAACUGUUAAGCGUUUUGUCUUCGUGUGGAUGGGGCCUUAGUUUCAAGUUGAAGCACUAAAAUUAAUCAGGAUCUGCCCCUGGAUACAGCGAACCCCUCUCAAGGUGCCAUUGUCAUGAGAUAAUCUGUGUUAUUUUCUUCACCUGACAGUGGUUUCAAUGUUGUAGCUAAUUGUUGUAUAAAGUCCAUGAAGUAACAUACACAUUUUAAAAAGGCUUACGAUGUGUGUGUUUGCAAGCAGUGACUUCACACACAUCUAAUAAAGGUUCAUUAGUCAUAUAAGCUUGUACAGAGUAAUGACAGACGCAAAACAAACCAAAAAAAGCUGUGCGUACGUGCAGAUGUGCAAAGCUGCCUGAGGCGGUGAGCACAGCUGGUAACGUCUUUCAUGCCUUCAUGUAUGUACAGACUUUUUCAUCACUCCAUGUGUGCUCACGGCACUAAUGAAGCUUUGUUGAAUGUAUGUCAUUACUAAGCAACCACUCCCAAACUCCUCCCACUCAUAUGUAAUCUAGUGCCUGGGAAAUGGCUGUAUUUAGUAAUGUUUGCUGUGUUUAUUUUUUUUGUGUGUAUUUUUUGGGUUUUUCGUUGCAUGUCUUUUUGAGUUUGCCUAAUACCAGUGCCUGAUUGAGAGCCCACCCAUGCCUGACUUUUGCCCAAUCCUGUUGAACUAACAAUCAGCGCAUCUGUGCUGAGGCGGGCUAAUGAGGGGAACAAAGGGAGUGUGUAGAGAGACGAGAAGCAGAGGGGCAGACAGUUGAGCAGCGGGAGUGGAGUGAACACCGGGGCCGUCACAGGACCAGGACUGAGAGGAGCGACCCGCCCGGAUUGAGCAUCUCGCACCGAUCACACGUAGGGGCAGGGGAAACCCUGCCUUGCCCGUGAGUACUUCACCUGUGAUAUUGAAGUGGUGCGCUCUGGAGAGCCUUGGGCUUUGGGGUUGGGGCCGUGUAUUAGGACUUCGGGUUGGCCUGUGUCCGUGUGUUUGGCAGGUGUGGAGUGCUGUGGUGGUGGCGGCUGCUGGAGGUGAGGUAGAUCCGGAGCCAGGAAUGAGAGGGACGUACAUCGAAUGAGGACCAGGACGUGGUCACAUGAUGCGCGCUGAUUGAGGGGACUGCACUCGGCUACAGUCGGCCCGGCGAAGUAGCGCUGUGGGCGUAACGUCUCUGGGGAGCGGAGGGCCACGUACAGACCGAGGCUCGAUCAACGCAGCGGCAGUUGGGGGAAGCUUUGCCCUGUGUGCUGCGCUCCAGGGUUGGAUUAAGGAUUCUUGGACUCAUUCACACUAGCAUUUUAAAGGAGCUUUUGUCCACAUUGUAUUUGUUGCUUGUUUCAGCUAGCUAUUUUAAUCUUUUUAUUUGUGGAUGCUUUUAAUCUAUUUAAAACUAAGUAAAACGUCAUAUUUCUAUAAA